UUCUCUCUGUCUUGCCUUUUUCACUCUCAUAUUUUGGUUGGAAGCCUAAAAACCGAAAGCUCCUAUGUAAGACGGUAAGAAGAGAUCCAACAAAAAUGCAUGCAUCAAAAAUCAAUGGCGGCUGCUAAUCAAAUAAACGAUUUUAUCUUUCACAGCAAAAACAUUACAGGAAGCUCCUUUCUCGGCCGACAUAUAAUGAAUGAAACAUCAUUGUGGAGGAAGGAGAGGAAGACAACAAGAGGUUUUGUAUUUUGAAUUUUGGAUGGAGUGCAAUAAAGAAGAGGCCGUAAGGGCCAAGAAAAUUGCUGAAAAGAGAAUGCAAAACAAAAAUUUCAACGCUUAAGGCUCAGCAGCUAUAUCCUGAUUUAUAAAAAAACUUAAUGAAAAGUUUGUUUAAUCUAAUUCCCUCCCUUCUGAAUAAACUAGUUCUUUUUAGUUAGCUUUUUAUUUUCAGACAAUUUCUCAGAUUUCUGAAUAAACUUGGUUGAGCCAGCUAUUUUAAACUUGUAAUAGUACAAUUUAUCUAAUUCAGCAUCUCAAUGCUACAUUAAUGUGUUCAUGUUAGACUUUGGUGAGGAAAGUAAAUGCAUGUUUGAAUACGAUAAGAGA